AACAAUAAAAAUAAUAAACGAAUUAGCUGCUUAUUCAAGGGCCCUGACCCGAGGGGCCGUCCUCCACAGCUCCACAAUAGCGCAGAGACAUAGACAGAGGCAGCAACGGCAGCGGCAGCGGCAGAGGCCGAGGCCGGGGCAGAGGUCGAUGUAGCGGCAGAGGCCGAGGCUGGCAAGGGGGUAAGGCUGAAAAAAGGCAAAAGCCCCCUUCGCUGGCGCACAGACAAACAAGCGAACAAACAUUCAAAUUGACUUUGCGACUCGGAGCAUUUGUCGGGUUUACAAUUUCAAAGAGCAACUCCAGAACCGAGACCUCAACCUCAACCUUUGGAGCUCAAGGACCUCCCAGGCGACAUUUGUAACUUUAGUCUAUUUGUCUGGCAAGGGAACAGAGGCAUGGGCAGGGGCUGGGGCUGCUGCUGGAGCUGGAGCACAAGGACGUUAAGAUGUUUAUGGCUUGUCAAGGAUUAUUGUUAUCACCAGCUAGCCAGGCUUGUCACAUUGAUGUUGGCUGAUGCUGUCUAUCGCUGUGGACAAGCAGAAAUCGGAUGCCUAUUUUUCGGGGCUAAUGGACUUCUUCUGGACUGACAGGAAGAAAGGUUUAUCCAUGAAGGUCAGGUCCAACUUGCAACCUUCAACCUUCAACCUGCUGCCUGCUGGCUGUGCGGAGUCUUUUCUCCGACCACUCGAAUCCCCUCCAGAAAUGCAUUCACAUUACCAUCUGGUUCACUCUGCCUCAUAGAGGGGGUGCUGAUGGCGGGAGGCCAUUGCAGGCCGUCAUUGGACCGUGCCUGACCAGACGAAUCAUGCAUUGAUGGCCACAUCAUCAUUCAUCGUCCCAGCCAUAUCCCAUUUCCAAAUAAUUAGCGCCGUUUGCCCGUCACUGGUAGUCCGUGAAUUGGUUGACUCCGGUCGGGAGCCCACAAAAAGCAGCGGAGUUGGAGGUUGGCGUGGGGGGCUUUUAAAGCCUUACUUCGAGGAUGCUGAUGCUCUCGACAACGGUUUCGCUCGGCUGUGAUGCUUUAGAAGUACCCAGCCUAUUCUUGAUAAACUUUCGGGUGUAUGCCUAAUAUUCAAAAAAUAUUCAAAAUAUUUCAAUAAAAUCAAUC